rnacentral:rRNA from 1 species
UACGAAGGGUGCAAGCGUUAAUCGGAAUUACUGGGCGUAAAGCGUGCGUAGGCGGUCUUUUAAGUCUGCUGUGAAAUCCCCGGGCUCAACCUGGGAAUGGCAGUGGAUACUGGGAGGCUAGAGUGUGUCAGAGGAUGGUGGAAUUCCCGGUGUAGCAGUGAAAUGCGUAGAGAUCGGGAGGAACACCAGUGGCGAAGGCGGCUACCUGGACCAGCACUGACACUGAAGCACGAAAGCGUGGGGAGCAAACAGG